UUUUCUACUUUUUAAUAUUUUAAAGCAAUAUUUCAUCAUUUUCUCAUCUAAACGCAAUCAGAUCAGUGGAAAAGGGAAUUGGCAUUGUGAGCUCCUUCUGGUGGCCAGUGGAGAUACUACAGCCUUUUAAGAAAGGGAUUUCAACCCAAAGAUAAAAGGUAGGCCUCAAACAGGAAGGGGAGAUUUCAAGUCCUCGUUGGGCAGGCCAGUUAAGCUCUAGUUGAAAGUGGUAUAUCCAGGAUUAACUGAGGUGUGAAAACAAAAGGCAUAAAUGUGGUCACUUGAAAAAUCUGAAAUGAAAAAGUGGAUAUGCUAAAGUGCUGACCCCUAAACUAUUCUAUAUUUAUUGUGUAUUUAUUCUGUAUAUACUAUGUACAUCCUAUUUCCCAUGACAAUGUAAGAAAAGUCCUGCAGAACACGAACUUUCAUUUUUACCUCUGAAAUAUGUACAUCCUGUUUCCCAUGACAAUGUAAGAAAGGUCCUGCAGAACAGGAACUUUCACUUUCACUCUGAAUUCUCCUCCUUUCUCUUUCACUCUAUAUCCUUCCAUGUACUUAACUCAUUGCCUGGUACAAAGUAGGUAUUUAAUAAUUGAUUUCCAGUCACCUUUUCCUAUUUCUUUCCCUUCUUGACCUUUCUACUAGCAGCAUUGAGUGCUAUUAUCUCCCUCCCCCUUCCUGGAUAUGGUCUCUUCCCUGGAGUCCAUUGUUCUCUCCUGGUUCUCCUCUUGGAUUUUGGAUGCCACCUAUUCCUCCUUCGUGGAUAACCAUGUCCUUUAGGUAUAUGGCUCAGGACUCAGUCCUGGAUCUUUUUUUCUCUGGGCUCCCUCUCUCAGUGUUCUCAUUGGCUCUGAGGAGCUCAACUGUCAUUCCUAUGCAGACAAUUCCCAAAUACAAAUCCAAUCAUGGAUGGAUUUCUUUGGCCACCUGCUGGACAUUCUACAGGCACCUCAAACUUAACAAGUCAAAAAUGGAAUUGUCUUUUUCCUAAAAUCCAUUCUUUUUCUUAAUGUUGGCAACUCCACAAGAUAUCCUCUAUUCUUCCUUGGUUCCAUAUCCAAUCAGUUACUGAAUCUUGUUUAUUUUAGUUUCAUAGUAUCUCUCACACUGCACCUUCCAGCUCAAAAGCUCUUAAUUCACAUUUCUCUUUUUUCCGUUAUCUUUUAUCACUUUCCAUUGGGGAUAGACUUCUGAAUUUUCCAAGGUAACUGAAAUCAUCUCAUUUUGAAAUAUCAAGAAAUACGAAAAGUCUACACAAGCUCUUUGAGGACAGCAACUGUCUUUGUUUUUGUGUCUGUGUUAGAAAGAAGAUAACAUUUUGAAGGAAAGAUGAGUUUAUUUUUGAAUAUACUGAGUUUAAGAUGUUUAUGAGAUGUUGGAGAUGAGACACCACAGGUUGAGAGAUUAGCAAAAAAUAACUGAAUCCAUAGGAAGUGAUGAGCUCACCAAGUGAAAUAACUUAGAGGGAGAAAAGAGGACCCAGGACAAUACCUCGUGGGGCACCCAUGGUUAGUGUAUACAGCCUCACUUAAGAGCUAGCAAAAGGGAGGAGUGGUCAGACAAAAAGGAAAAUAGGAAGAGAGUAAUGUCACAAAAAUCUAGAGAGAAAUUAUCAAGAAACAAGUGAUCCACAGGCAGAAGAGAGCUCUGGAAAGAAGAGGGCUGAGAAAAACCCAUUGGAUUUAGCAAUUUGAGAUCAUAUAUAAAUUGGAGAGCAAUGUUUCAAUUAAAUGAUGAGGUCAGAAGCCAGAAUGUAAAGUUAAAAAGUUAAGGAAAGGAAAGGGAAGCACAGAUUGCAUCUGACCUUCUCAAGGAGUCUAGCCCCACAAAAUAAGAGAGAUAUGGGACUCCUAUGGAUGAAAUGAUCAAAUGAAGGUUUUUGAGGACGGGUGAGCCAUGGGCAAUUUGUAGAGAGCAGGGAAGCAGCCAGUAGACAAAAUAUUGAAAAUUAGUGAGACUGCAACAACCGGAUUAUGUGAUGAUCAACUGUGAUGGUCGAUACACUUUUUUAACAAUGAGGUGAUUCAGGCCAAUUCCAAUAAACUUGUGAUGGAGAGAGAGAGGGGGGGGGGGGACUACAGAGACUGAGUAUGGGUCACAAUACAGUAUUUUCAUCUUUUUUUUUUGUUUUGUUUUCUUGCUUCUUCUUUCUCCUUUCCCCCUUUGAUCUGAUUUUUCUUGUGCCCUAUGAUAAAUGUGGAAAUAUGUUUAUAAGAAUUGCAAAUGUUGAACAUAUAUUGCAUUAUUUCCUGUUGGGGGAGGAGAAAAAUUUGGAAUACAAGAUUUCGCAAGGAUGAAUGUUGAAAACUAUCUUUGCACAUACUUUGAAAAUAAAAAAAAAGUAUCGUUAAAAAAAAUCAGUGAGAGUGGAUGAAAAAUGGGACAAUGUGUUGGAGAAGAUGGAAUGGAACGGCAUCACUUGUGCAUAAAUGGGCAAGCUCAACUGUGACUGGAGCAGGUGGGGAAGGAGUUGGUGGAGGAAGAUACGUGGGAAAAUGCGAGAAGGGGAGAGAGGAAGAGGAACCCCCCUUUCCCCCCGAGAUGUUCUGGAGGAAACACCAGUGGGGUCCCACGGCAAGGCACGCUACGGAGGGGCUGGUAGAGAGGCCUUCAAGCGCCUCCAGUUAUUCCUAGCGGUGCAGGGAAGAACUUGUGGGAUGGGAAAAGAGGCUGGCGAGGGAACUUGACGUUUCUCAAGGCGAGGAGAAAGGGAACUGAAAACCGCAGCCCAGCGAAUGGGAGAAGGCAGGCGGCGGCGGAAGUGACGCGCAGGAAGUCCGGGGCUGCACUGACCGGCUUCCUCGCUGCUUUCCCGGCCCGCCCCCUCCCCCCAACCGCGCCUCCACGAUGUAGCCGCAAAACCUCAGGCGUCUCCGCCCGCCUUUACUGCAGGGCAGGAGGAAGCAGAAGAGGAGGAGAAGGAAGACGCAGAGCAGCGGUUUGGCUGCGGCGGUCAGCAUGGAGUCCGAGGGGAGCAGAGAACUCAUCUUUCCUCCUCUCACGGAGCCGGCGGAUGCCCCAGUGCCCAACCUCACCCCGAGACACCAGGAGCUGAUCCCUACUCCCUGCGGCCCUAUAAAACCAUGGAGCGAAUUGUCCUGUCCGGUCAAGGUCUACUUCUGCAUCACGCUGGUGUCUCUCCUGAGCAUCAUUGGGUUAACCAUAAAGACCCUCGUGCAAAAGUCAGACGAGAACUUCACCGUCUCCCUCAUUCAGCUCAUCGGCGUGGUGUUCUGCAUUUACUACGUGACCCGAGGGAUCCUCCAGGAGAACCGCCAGGAGCUCAUCGUCUUCAUCCUCUCCAUCCUGCUGGUGAUGUUCCGCUCCCUCGUCAACUUCCUCGUGCUGACCGCGGAGGAGAAGCCGGCCAGAGAGGACCCCGUCAUCCUGGCCCGGUUCGUGGUGAUCCUCCUCGUGGGCUUCUUCGAUGUGAUCUGUGCGGUGAUCCUGAUCCGGACCCAAGGCAUGAUGGCCUUCCGAGUGGGCGGGGCCCUGGAGAGCCUCCAGGCUCAGUACUUCAUGCUCAAUCUCUGCUUCUCCAUGCUGACCUUUGACCUGCAAGCUCAGCUCUGCCUGUGUGUCCUGAUCCUGACCUCGGGCCUGUACGCCUCGCUGCAGCACAGCCUCAUCCUGGUGGUGGGCGUGCUCUGGGCCUGCCUCAAGGUGACCAUCGGCAUCCUGGCUGUUUAUGCUCAGUUUUUCUUGGUAAGUUGGUCUUGGUUGAAAGCCAAGCUCUUCUCUCCUUUUUGGCAUUGGCUGCUAAGUUGUGUGUGAUCCUGACUCACUCCUUGGUAUCUGGAUGCUUUCUUUCUCGAUGCUUGUGGUCUCAAUCUUGGCUCUAAGGUUCCUGGGUGUUUUCAUUUGGGGCCUUCUUUUAGGAGGUGAUCAAUGGAUUCUUCCCUCUUUCUUCUUUGUUCUUUGGUCCUAAGAGAUCUGGGCAAUUUUCUUUUCAGAUUUCUUGAAAUAUAAUAUCAGACUUCUUUCUGAGUUGUGGUGUUCAAGUAUCCACUGAUUCUUAAAUUAUCUCUCUUCAAUCUGUUUUCCAAGGUACCUUACAUUUUCUCUUCCCCUCCUCCUCUUUUGACUGAGGUGUUUGUUGUUGUUGGUUGUUGUUUUGCAGGUAAUUGGGAUGAAGUGAUUUGCCCAGCGUCCCACAGCUAAUUCUGCGGGAGCUGAAGGCCCUCGUGUGGAUUUUCCUGAUGCAGAAUGUCCCGGAAGUGGCUUACCUCUUCUAUCUCCUGUACACG